GCGAAAACUUUACAAUGCUGGCAACAGCGAUAAGGGAACCUCGAGUGCCAGGUUACAAAUCUGGCUGUCGAGAUGCCUAAAAAGCAUUUCAUAGCAAGGGCCGGGCAAGACCGGUGCCAGCCGCCGCGGUAACACCGGCGGCUCGAGUGGUAACCGUUAUUAUUGGGUCUAAAGGGUCUGUAGCCGGCCGGAUAAGUCUCUUGAGAAAUCUGGCAGCUUAACUGUCAGGCUUUCAGGAGAUACUGUCUGGCUCGAGACCGGGAGAGGUGAGAGGUACUGCCGGAGUAGGAGUGAAAUCCUGGAAUCCCGGUGGGACGACCUAUGGCGAAGGCAUCUCACCAGAACGGCUCCGACAGUGAGGGACGAAAGCUGGGGGAGCAAACC
rnacentral:rRNA from 1 species